UAGGGAAUAUUAGAAAUGGCCGAAAGUCUGAUCUAGCAACACCGCGUGUGCGAAGAAGGCCUUUGGGUCGUAAAGCACUUUUUGCAAGGAAUAGGAAGGAAUGUACUUCCAGAAUAAGUCUCGGCUAACUACGUGCCAGCAGCCGCGGUAACACGUAGGAGGCAAACGUUAUCCGGAUUUACUGGGCGUAAAGCGCGUGUAGGUGGUACUGUAAGUAGGGCGUGAAAGCUCCUGGCUCAACUGGGAGAGGCCGUUCUAAACUACAGAACUAGAGGAUGGUAGAGGGAGGUGGAAUUCCAGGUGUAGCGGUGGAAUGCGCAGAUACCUGGAGGAACACCGGUGGCGAAGGCGGCCUCCUGGACCAUUCCUGACACUCAGACGCGAAAGCUAUGGUAGCAAACGG
rnacentral:rRNA from 1 species